CUUCCACUCUGGCUUGCCUACAUUAGGAGAGAGAGAAAUUCAUUGAAGCACUGCUCUUCCUUAUUUGCCCUGCCUGUGAGAUGGGAGGAAGAGGACUCUCUAUGCUCCUGAAGGUCAAAAUGAUAUGCGGUCAUGUUACUUGAAUACAAUAUCUUAGAUAACUUUUUUGUCCCCCAACUGAUAGCUGAAGAAUGGAUCUCUGCUGAACCAACCAAGAGCCGUCCUGCAGAAAUUGGCAGCCAUGUCUGAUCUCAACCCGAAUGCCCCCAGGAACUCAAGGAAUUUUGUCUUCCAGACCCUGUCCCCAGUGAAGAGCGAGGGCGUGAAAGAGAAAGCCAAACCCCAGGUCAAGAGAAAAACUCUGCCUCCUGCUGCUGCCAUGCCUUCUCCCAAACGGCUGCGACUUGACAGCACAUCAGUUCAAGAAACCCGAAGUAUAUUCCAGUAUUUGGAGAGGUAAAAAAAAAAAAAAGUAUUUUGUCUCGUCCAGCCACAUUUUGGAUUUUGCAGAGCUGUAAAGACAACGCACAAAUCUUUUACUGGAUGGGCAACACCGAAAUUGUAGAACCCACGGCAUUAAGAUUCCUCCCCUGUCCUCGGGGAUUUGUUGGGCAGCAGGAAAAAAAUACUUUUUGCUCUCUGCCGUUACAGUACUGACUCAAGCACUAACUGAGCCUGCAUUUCCCUAAUUCAUUCUUUCUCCUUUGGGACUUUACUCGACCUAAGUCAUAUUCUAAAACAGUGUUUUAUUUUGGGGCCACUUUUGGAGCAUUGGGAUCCCGGUGGCUGGGUUUUAAAAUCACCAUGGGGGCUGUAUGUAUAUAUAAAACUUUGUAUAUAUAACUUUUUUCCCCUUGGUAUUUUGGAAAAUUCUGAUGUACUUUUAAUCAAGGUUUUAAUUUUUCUAAAUUCAUAUUAUAGAACAGAAUAUAUCUGUAAUGUAUACUGUAUAAUAUAUAUGUACCUUUGUU